rnacentral:rRNA from 1 species
GACGAACGCUGGCGGCGUGCUUAACACAUGCAAGUCGAGCGGUAAGGCCUUUCGGGGUACACGAGCGGCGAACGGGUGAGUAACACGUGGGUGAUCUGCCCUGCACUUCGGGAUAAGCCUGGGAAACUGGGUCUAAUACCGGAUAUGACCUCCUAUCGCAUGGUGGGUGGUGGAAAGAUUUAUCGGUGCAGGAUGGGCCCGCGGCCUAUCAGCUUGUUGGUGGGGUAAUGGCCUGCCAAGGCGACGACGGGUAGCCGACCUGAGAGGGUGACCGGCCACACUGGGACUGAGACACGGCCCAGACUCCUACGGGAGGCAGCAGUGGGGAAUAUUGCACAAUGGGCGAAAGCCUGAUGCAGCGACGCCGCGUGAGGGAUGACGGCCUUCGGGUUGUAAACCUCUUUCAGCAGGGACGAAGCGCAAGUGACGGUACCUGCAGAAGAAGCACCGGCUAACUACGUG